AGUGAAUCAUCGAAUCUUUGAACGCACCUUGCGCUCCUUGGUAUUCCGAGGAGCAUGCCUGUUUGAGUGUCAUCAAUAUAUAUAUCAUCAACCCUCUCUUGUUUUUUUGAGUGAGUGAGUGGCUUGGAUGUGGGGGCUUGCUGGGCCUGCUUAAAAGGCUUUCAGCUCCCCUGAAAUGCAUUAGUGGAACGACCUGUUCAUUCAUUGGUGUGAUAAACUAUCUACGCUGUCGAAUGUGAGGUGGCUGUUCAGCUCUCUAACCGUCCUUGGACAAUUUGCUGUUGUAUGUGACCUCAAAUCAGGUAGGACUACCCGCUGAACUUAAGCAUAUCAAUAAGCGGA
rnacentral:sRNA from 1 species